UGGUGGCGUGAGUUGUCUGGUUAAUUCCGUUAACGAACGAGACCUCUGCGUGCUAAAUAGCGACGGGCGCCCUCCGGGGCGCAGCGUAGCUUCUUAGACGGACUAUCGGAAUCUAAGCCGGUGGAAGCUAGAGGCAAUAACA
rnacentral:rRNA from 1 species